CCUACGUGUGGCUGCAGUGAGGAAUAUUGGUCAAUGGGCGCGAGCCUGAACCAGCCAAGUAGCGUGAAGGAUGACUGCCCUACGGGUUGUAAACUUCUUUUAUCAAGGAAUAAAGUGAGGCACGUGUGCCUUUUUGUAUGUACUUUAUGAAUAAGGAUCGGCUAACUCCGUUCCAGCAGCCGCGGUAAUACGGAGGAUCCGAGAGUUUUCCCGAUUUAUUGGGGUUAAAGGGAGCGUAGAUGGGUUGUUAAGUCAGUUGUGAAAGUUUGCGGCUCAACCGUAAAAUUGCAAUUGAUACUGGCAGUCUUGAGUACAGUUGAGGUAGGCGGAAGGCGUGGUGUAGCGGUGAAAUGCUUAGAUAUCACGAAGAACUCCGAUUGCGAAGGCAGCUUACUAAACUGCCACUGACAUUGAGGCUCGAAAGUGUGGGUAUCAAACAGGAUUAGAUACCCGGGUAGUC
rnacentral:rRNA from 1 species